CCAGGUGUGGCCGGGGCACUGCACUGGCGCUCGGAGGCAGGUCACGGGGGCCAGGGAGCCCUGGACCCGGAACAGGGCCGCCGUAGGGCGAGGCCAGGGUGCCAGGAGCCAGGCCUCCGCGGGGAAGCGGGAUUCUGCCCGGUUCCAAACCGUGUUUGACCCCAGGGCGCCUGUAUUGCCCCUGAAGGCCAGGCUGGAGGAAAGACGACUACCUUGGGAGAGCGGGGGGCCUGGGGAAAAGUUUCAACCCAUCCAGUGAAGGUAUCUACAAAUACCAAGACGUAUUUGAAACCCCAGGGACCAGGGACAUGACAGCAAAAGAGUUAGCUCUUUUGGAUCUUGUCCUAAAGAGAGUGGGGAGAUUUUGAAUUCCUCGGAAGGACUAGUGUCCCAUCCUGUGACCGAAUUAAUGAUGUACAUUUGCUUCUUGG